rnacentral:tRNA from 1 species
UGGGGAUUAGCCAAGUGGUAAGGCAACGGUCUCUGACUCCGUGAUCCAUAGGUUCGAAUCCUAUAUCCCCAG